UACAGAGGGUGCGAGCGUUGUCCGGAAUUACUGGGCGUAAAGGGCGCGUAGGCGGCUUGGUAAGUCGGGGGUGAAAGUCAGCGGCUCAACCGCUGGACUGCCUUCGAGACUGCCUGGCUUGAGCAUGGUAGAGGCUGGCGGAAUUCCCGGUGUAGCGGUGGAAUGCGUAGAGAUCGGGAAGAACAUCGGUGGCGAAGGCGGCCUGCUGGGCUGUUGCUGACGCUGAGGCGCGACAGCGUGGGGAGCAAACAGG
rnacentral:rRNA from 1 species